CGAACGAGCUGUGAGAUCUUCGGAUGGAUACACUUAGUGGCGGACGGGUGAGUAACGCGUGGGUACCUGCCUCACACUGGGGGAUAACAGUUAGAAAUAGCUGCUAAUACCGCAUAAGUCCGCAUGGAAAAAACUCCGGUGGUGUGAGAUGGACCCGCGUCUGAUUAGCCAGUUGGCGGGGUAACGGCCCACCAAAGCGACGAUCAGUAGCCGGCCUGAGAGGGUGAACGGCCACAUUGGGACUGAGACACGGCCCAAACUCCUACGGGAGGCAGCAGUGGGGAAUAUUGCACAAUGGGGGAAACCCUGAUGCAGCGACGCCGCGUGAGUGAAGAAGUAUUUCGGUAUGUAAAGCUCUAUCAGCAGGGAAGAAGUGACGGUACCUGAAUAAGAAGCCCCGGCUAACUACGUGCCAGCAGCCGCGGUAAUACGUAGGGGGCAAGCGUUAUCCGGAUUUACUGGGUGUAAAGGGAGCAUAGACGGCAAGGCAAGUCUGAAGUGAAAGCCCGGUGCUUAACGCCGGGACUGCUUUGGAAACUGUUUAGCUGGAGUGCCGGAGAGGUAAGCGGAAUUCCUAGUGUAGCGGUGAAAUGCGUAGAUAUUAGGAAGAACACCAGUGGCGAAGGCGGCUUACUGGACGGUA
rnacentral:rRNA from 1 species